AGUGAACGCUGGCGGUAGGCCUAACACAUGCAAGUCGAACGGCAGCACAGUAAUAGCUUGCUCUUACGGGUGGCGAGUGGCGGACGGGGGAGGAAUACAUCGGAAUCUACUUUUUCGUGGGUGAGAACGUAGGGAAACUUACGCUAAUACCGCAUACGACCUACGGGUGAAAGCAGGGGAUCUUCGGACCUUGCGCGAUUGAAUGAGCCGAUGUCGGAUUAGCUAGUUGGCGGGGUAAAGGCCCACCAAGGCGACGAUCCGUAGCUGGUCUGAGAGGAUGAUCAGCCACACUGGAACUGAGACACGGUCCAGACUCCUACGGGAGGCAGCAGUGGGGAAUAUUGGACAAUGGGCGCAAGCCUGAUCCAGCCAUACCGCGUGGGUGAAGAAGGCCUUCGGGUUGUAAAGCCCUUUUGUUGGGAAAGAAAAGCAGCAGGUUAAUACCCCGCUGUUCUGACGUUACCAACAGAAUAAGCACCGGCUAACUUCGUG
rnacentral:rRNA from 1 species